GCCUGAGUAGCUCAGUCGGUUGAGCGUCUGACUUUGGCUCAGGUCAUGAUCUCGCGGUCUGUGAGUUCAAGCCCCAUGUCAGGCU
rnacentral:tRNA from 1 species